ensembl:lncRNA
GCUGAAUUAAAUAGUUGGAAUGACAUGUUCGGGCCUGUUGCCAAAACCAGGCUAUGACGGAACGCACAAAGAGGCGGGGUUAUUCUGUAGGCGUGCGCCGGGUUGACCAAUCAUAUUCCAAGAUAUGGCACGUGGGCUAACAGGCCACGCCUCCUUUCUCCAACACGCUCCUGCACGCUGAAGUUUCAGCAGUCUGGAAGCGGGACAGCGAAGAGGCAGAGCUGGGUUCUGUCACCGGGGGAAAAGUGGCGUUAUUGCACUUUAUUACUUAAAACAAGCAGUUAAAAUACUUUUCUUUUGCGCUAGAAGUGGACCGUUUUGUUUGUUUUCUUUCUCAGUUGCUAACUGAGUGAAUGACGUUAUCGGGAAGUUUUCGGAGAAACAGAGAUUUUCGGAUGUCGGAAACAAAAUGCACUUUUGGAUUUUAACUUCAACAGACUCACCUUUUCAGUGCUUGGUUUCCACGGUAACGGAGCGCGCGCCGGGCGGAUGUGUGCGCGCCGCCAUUUUGCGCACAGGUGCCGCUGUUAAAACAGAACAGAAGUAAAGGGGCUCGUGCGCGGAUUUUUGAAUGCCUUUGCGGGGAGUUUGCUGGUGGCUGUGCUGCACGCGAGGCUUCCGUUUGCUGGGGCGCGAGCAUGGAGGGAGAGAAGAGGAGGAGGAGGAAGAGGAGGAGGAAGAGUCGUUCGAGUUGCGCAAUAAGGAGGAGUGCACGCGCCGCCGCGCGCCGGGCCAACUGGAAGUGACUCUUUCUCAGCCGGCUCGAUCAGCCAAUGGCACGCCCAGGUGAGUUCACCUCAUUUAUUGUUCCAUCGAGGCUGAAACUUUACGGCGCACACUUACCCAGCCAGCUCGAGAGCGCACGAGAGGCUGUGGGAUCACGACGCGAAGGUUUUUACGACUAAACGCGGGCCAGAAAUGGUUUUUGUCAUGUGAGUUCUUUGGACAAUGAAAGUGAGAGGUGUAGAAUUUCCCUGCUUUGCUGCGGGACUCGCUUUCAACCUCUGAAAAUCUCCAACUUCCUUUUUGAGCGACAGAUAAAACAACCACAUGACGUGUUAGACAGUAUUACACACGCACACACACGCGCGCGCGCGCGUGCGUGCGUUUUUACAAGGGGACAUAAAGCGGUCGCACCAUAUGACACGUAUUUCACUCAGACAUACGUUUAAAUGUUUAACGUGUAGAUUCAGUUACUCAUUCUGAACUGGCAUUUUAAGACUGUAAGUACAUUAAUAUACACACAUGUACAUACACACACACACACACACACACACACACACACACACACACACACACACACACACACUCCUUCAUAGGACAGGAGCUGUAGAUAACAGAAAUUUAAAUAAAUCAUGUCACAGAUUCAAUACUGUUGCCAAGGUGUGUGUGUGUGUGUGUGUGUGUGUGUGUGUAAGAAAGUGAAGCCAGACAGGAUAUCCAGCACGUAGACUCAGUUAGUGCAUGGUGAGUCAGGGUGUUUAACGGCCAGCAGAGGUGAGUGGAUAAGUUACUGUACACACUUAACACACACACACACACACGCACACACACACAAACACACACAAGUACACAUGCAUACACGCGUCCUUUUGCUCUCUGCUCCUUGGCUUCUCUGUGGAAUGCUCUGGCACGGCUCUUAAGUAAACAGCGGUAUUUUUAGUACGGGUCGAACAGAGCCUUUCUUAAUCACUGUCUCCCCGUAUUCCCACCAUCCCCGAGUGAGAGAAAGACAGACAGGAAAAGACAGACGAGAGAGAGAGACAGGCGUUUUAAAAAAGGCAUUCAUAGAUAGUGGGCGGAGAUUACAAAUUGACCUACCAGUACCCUAACAUGUUUCAUAAAGCUGCUGAGUAAAGUGUCUCUCCAGGACAGAACAGGACCUUUCUAGGUCACGUACACAUUUUUAACGCGAUUAUCUCUCAGGAAAAAAAGGGGAAACAUUUGGUAUGAAGGCCAAUCAGUUGCGUAAUAAUCGUUUAAAUAGAAGAAUAUACAUUAUGCCGAUUUCUGAAUCCACCCGAACGUGAAGAACACAGAGCUGUUGCUCAAUGAAGGAUUACAAAAUUCUGUAAAUAAUUACUUAAAAAUAUCUAUUUUUUUAAAAUUUAAUCAAGACUUUAUUUUCUGUUUUUGGUCAUCAGUCCAAAUAUCUAGAACAUAUCGCUGUAAACAUGGCAUGUUUGUUUCACUUCUUGUAGGUGUGUCGAUUUAGAAUCACUUACAAUUGAAUUGCACUGUAGGUGAGUCGAUUCGGACUCACUUGCAAUCGAAACGCACUGUCGGUGGGUCGAUUCAGAAUCGCUUGCAAUAGAAUUGCACUGUCGGUGAGUCGAUUCAGAAUCGCUUGCAAUAGAAUUGCACUGUAGGUGAGUCGAUUCAGAAUCACAUGCAAUCGAAUUGCACUGUAGGUGAGUCGAUUCCGAAUCGCUUGUAAUCGAAUAGCACUGUAGGUGAGUCGAUUCAGAAUCACUUGCAAUUGAAUUGGGCUGUAGGUGAGUCGAAUCAGAAUCACUUUGUCACUGGAAUUGAAAUGCGCUGUAGGUGAGUCGAUUCAGAAUCACUUUCUCACUACAGUCAAAUUACGUGAUAGGUCAGUCGAUUCAGAAUAAUUUUCUCACUGGAAUUAAAUUACACUGUAAGUAAGUCUAUUCAGAAUCAUUUUCUCACUACAAUCAAACUGUGCUGUAGGUGAGUCGAUUCAGAAUAAUUUUCUCACUGCAGUCAAAUAACACUGUAAGUGAGUCGAUUCAGAAUCAUUUAUGACUGUAAUCAAACUGUGCUGUAGGUGAGUCAAUUCAGAAUCACCGACACACCAACAGUAGAGUUCCUACAUAUAAAAGUUGUCACGAUAUCCUUGAUAUUGCAGAAAUGUGUAUUGUGACAUAACUUAUAACAAUAUUGAUAAUAUAUCAUCAUAUCACCCAGCCCACAUAGGGUGUAACAUAAUGGUGGUGAACCUACACAGUGCACUUGAUUCCCAAUAAAACACCAUCUGAGGUUCAGCCACAAUAGACGAGCGAUUUGCUGGAACUCUAUCUGUUAUCGGACAAAAGCUUUGUUAUAUACAAGCAAAGAAACUCAAAUACAUAAUUAUAAUUAUACAAGAAUACGUAAGAAGAUAAUUUGUGUACAAAUUGAACUCUCCAGGAUCUCUGAUAAUAUGCAGGUCUGUGUUUAGGCUGUUGUUUUAAUAAGUGCAGAUUUGUUGUGGAAAACAGCUGGAAUACGGCGAUGUUCUCGGUUUAGCUAGAAUUCGGGAGAGCAGAGGGAGAGGUUAUGUGUAAAAAUCACAGCUGGGGCUCAUAUUGACCCACGGCUGCACGACGGUGGUGGAGGAGGAGGAGGAGGAGGAGGAGUGGUAGUAGUAAGGUGGGGGAGGUGAACAAAGCCCGAGCCCACUCUCCCUGCCUGCAGCCGCCCACUCGUUUCCCAGAGUCCUCGGCAGCGCCGUGUCGCCCGCGAGGGGCCCGCGAGGCGACUUCCUGUCAGAGAGCGACGGCGAAGCAGGAAGCAAUUUGUCAUGCAGGAGCAACGCGCACAGGGAACGUGGAUCGCUCCGAACCGAAACAUGGCACUCUUAAAAGGACACGGGUGAGAAGGACAGGAACGGGAACUCGCACGACGAGAACAAACGAGCGGCGCAGAGAACGCAAGCUCGCCACCUUGUUUUUUUGGGGAAGUGAAAGCAAACGGAAAAUCCUCCACAGUCCAUAUAGAUCCCGAACACCUUUCACCCUUCCUCCCCCGUACAUCUCUCUCUCUCUCUCCCUUUCUCCUCCACCAUCCAGCAUGAAAUCUGAGCGAUAUUAAUGCUGCCAGAGCUGUAAAGUUGUGGUCUGUGCGUCUUUUCUCUUUGGAGCGGAGCACACGCUAAGCAGAACCAUAUGUGCGCCCCAUAUGAACAGGAAACUGCUGGAAAUAAAGAAAGAAGGGAGGAGGCGCAGGGUGGAAGAGGAGGGAGCGAGUCUAGGUUCUGUGUACCCGCUGUAAACUCGGUGUCUCUGUUUAGUCAGUAACUAGAGCACGUUACUGACCCAGUUUUUCAUUAUUGGGGACACACACACACACACACACACACACACACACACACACACACUAAUUAAUGCUUAGCUUCGAAAACAGCAACUCUUCCUAUUUAAGCCUCCAACACACAUUGAAUACAAAAUGGCUUCCUAAUCACAUAAUCCAGUCGAUCAUGUUGAAUUCUUCGUUCUGAUUGGUCGGAAAGUGUUUAACGUUCUAUAAUAGCAGCUCUGAGAGCAGGCUGUAAACGAGUCAGUAACGAAUAUGUUUAUGGUGUAAACGUCGCUAUGUGACAAAGGAAAUGUCGAUACGGUGACGUUUUCUUCACGGAAGGAGUCUCCGGUGUCAGUGCUCUGUAGGAUUUUGCGGCAAGCAAUCUUGUGCAAUUUUGCCAGUUCAAGUCCAUUUUAAAAAAGCACAAAAAAAAACUCCAAAUGCAACAUAUUUGGCUCGGGGAAGUCACGGGAAAGUUUUCCCGACCGAGAACGUCGCGCUUUCUGGUUUCUCUGGAACAUGACAAGCGGCGUGGGGUUUUAUUCGUUUAUUUCUCGUCUCAACGUCCGAAGAAUAGAAAGCGACCGGUGAGGGAACGGCUGCCAUUAAACGAAGCCCUUAAAGGGUCGAAGGUCACCGGGCAAUGCUCGGAGACCUCUGCAGGUAGUGUGUGGACUUGUGUGUGGGAUUAUUACACGUCGCUCAAGGCUAACGGUUUAAUCGUCGAGCCGUUGAUAGAGAUCAGAUUUUAGCCCUUCAUGACCAUGCGUCACCGUUUAGAAUCAGACCCGUCCAAGCCAAGCAGCGCUCGGUCUAAUCGUUAACGACAGUGUCGUUUAACGCGUCGCGUUUUUUUCUGGAGCCGCGUCUCAUUCACUGACCGGCCGCGUGUCGGGUAAAAGCGCAGGUCCUCACCGAAUCGUCUGAAGGCCACCACGUCCGCACGUCACGCUCGGCCUUUAAAAAAACAACAGGACAAACACACACUCAGGCCUGGCCCCGAUUUUAUCAGGCUUUAAAGGCGUGGACGCGUUUUGUUUUUUUUAAUAGAGCGGACACACGUAUAUCGGUAUAUAACCGUGCGUGCGGAUUCAACUUACAAUAGUCGAUUGUGUUUGCGUGUUAUCAGUCAGUCGCACAUUCAAACCGAAGUCCGGCGCUGUUUAGACAGACAAGCGUGUCGGGGAAAAGGUCAGAGGUCAGCACGGAGCGGGAGGUUUUUCUGAGUGCGCACGCUGAUAAUUGGUCACGACACGGACGGAAUAAAAACGCGAAAGGCAACCGUGUCAAGAUCCUUUCUUCCUCCACACUUUGGCCUCUCCAUCACUUUGGUAUGACGUUACAUAGCUUCUUUGUGUGACAGAGAAAGAACGUGUUCGUUAUUAUGUUUAGCAUCCGGCACGUCCCCGGGCGAGUCCCUGUGAAUGAGCCGCUACCGUGGAAACGCUAACGUAUCGGAACUACCGUCAGAGCUGCAGUUAUCGAAGACGAAUCCAUACCUUCUAACCAAUCAGCGCUGUGGUAGGAAUUGCAUACAAUGGAAACCAGUGGUAUUGUUAGCGGUGUCGCUACGCUCGAGUACGACGCAGAAAGCAUCUGUCUUCUAAAGUGUCCUGUCAAAUAUGAAGCACAAACUGUGUUUUUUUUUUUUUGUCUCCGUUAUGGGACGGCGAGAUAGAAUAUAGACUAGACUGUUGUGCGUCCGUGGUCUAGACAGCGGUUAAAAGCAUCCGAGCUCAGUCUUUAUCGGCUCUCAAUCUGCUCUGCGUUCUGUGUGUCAUCGACUCUACUCUUUCACAAUCCCUCCACCUCUCGUCCUCUAUUCUGCUCCGUAAGCCUUGUACGUAGAGGCAUACGUAUUUGUCGUGCCUCUAAAAGAAACACGGACGGGUCACAGCGUCUUUCUUAGACACGCGCUAACGCUAUCGUAACGUAUAAUAGUAGCUAGCGCGGACAGCAUGGUUCAUUCGCGUUCGUUUCUCCAUUCUGGGAUUAUGCUAACGCUAGGUCAAGUCCAGCCCCGUGUUUUCAAGCGGUGACCCGAGGCAGCAUUUUCCCGCCGCUCUCAUUUAGCCGGCUCGCUAGUUAGCC